GACAGAGGGUGCAAACGUUGUUCUGAUUUACUGGGCGUAAAGCGUGUGUAGGCGGCUUGGCAAGUUGGAUGUGAAAGCCCACGGCUCAACCGUGGAAGCGCAUCCAAAACUGCUUCGCUCGAGUCUCGGAGAGGAAGGUGGAAUGUUUGGUGUAGAGGUGAAAUUCGUAGAUAUCAAGCAGAACACCUGCGGCGAAGGCGGCCUUCUGGACGAUGACCGACGCUGAGACACGAAAGCGUGGGGAGCAAACAGG
rnacentral:rRNA from 1 species